CUCGUCUAUCUCAAUCAAUUCCCACACCCGAUCUCUCCUCUCUCUCCCUCGCCCUCGAACAGGUUGCGCCGCCACCGUCGUCGUUUCGUUUGGCUCCCACCUCCUCAUGGCGCAGUCCAUGCCCACCCCGUUGGAAUGUCGCCUCCGUCUCCGUUUAGCCGUCGAUGUCCUCCAUCUCUUGUCUUCCGUCUAAUACGCCAACAGAGAGCAUCUAUUUCUGGGGGAGGCCGGCCACGAGAUCCAUCACCAGAUCGGUGGCGCACCGCACCCCUGAAGCAUGUAUCCAAUUUUUUUCUGGAGUCCUUGGGCGGGGCCGCUGCCAGAUCUGCCACGCUCGUGUACACUAUAGCGAUGCAGCGGUGAGCAACAAAAGCAACAGAGAGUUUCGGGGACCGCCGGCGAUGUCGUCGUCGUGGAAUAUGUUGGGGCUGGAGGUGCUCUACUAGGUCAUCGAUUAGGUGGACCGCCUUCUCGCCCGGUCGUUCAGCAGCUACCCGCAGGUCAUCCUCAACUACAAGUGCAAGAGGUGCUCCUUCAAUCCCUUCCGUUUGUCCUUGGCUAUAUAGUGUUCUUGGGCUAAAUCUGUUUGACCAGCUGUUUGCUUGUUCCUCAGUCUGUGCAUGAGGAUUCACUUAAUCUUUUCCACACAAAAGAGUCUUUGCUUCCUUUGUCAUGUAUACGUGUCUUGAUAUUGGAAAUAAAAUCUUCAUAUUGAUGGACGGACCUGAGAAAUUUGUCCAGUACAGUGUCAAAUAUUUAUAAACUGCAGUUUUCUUUGAGAUGAAUUGUGUCUUCGGGCAGCUGGAAAUUGUAGGAAUUGCCUUGAUUGCUUUCCUCCUAUGGCAAGAUAAUGGCCCUGUUUACAGGAGGGUGGCAUGUAUGGAAAGUAUCGGGAAAACAAAAGGUAUUUAGUACCGAGUAAAAUGAACAUUGGCAUAUAGUAGAAAAUGUGGUGUAUAUACGCACUGCAGUUGGUUGUGGUGCUUAUAAACUAUUUAAUUUAUGAUCUGUUGUCCAUCUUAUCAUGAUUGUUGUAUAUCAAUUCCUGCAGUUAUGGCUAAAUAAAAAUCACGACUGGGAAGAAGACUCAGGGAAUAAGAACAGACCAUUAGGAUAUUUGGAUCAGAUCAAAAUCAGGAAAUCGUCACAAAACCGAAGAUACUGCAAAAAAGGUUUUUAAUUACUAAAUUAAGAGUUUUGGUGGUUUCCACAAUUGUAUGAAAAAUUGGAAUUUAAAUUUUUGACACAUCGAGAUUUGUACUUGUGGCAGUAUGGUCUGAUUGUGUUUAUUUUAGUGACCACAUCCUCCACAACACGGCUUUUCAUAGGUAUUGCUUUCCCUUGACCAUUCCGAUAAUUAAUUAAGCUUUAUCCUAAAAGCCAAUUUUAUCAUUCAACCCUUAAGAAAUGUGUUAUGCACAGAGAAGUGGCGUUCAAGUGUGAAGUCAGAUACAAACUAACACAUGUUGAUGCAGUUGUUCCCACAUACACACUUUAAUUAUUUUCCUAUCUGACCAAAUGAUAUCUACUCUUUGUCCAGUUCUUGCAAAAAGGAAUGGAUUAUUGAAUGUUUGCUACUCCAUGGUAUGCUUGAUUGUUGUGUGCUUUUUUGAGCAAAUUGGAUAAUUUGUGGAAAAUCUGAAUUUUAUAUGACGGUCUGAACUUUCUUUGUGCAUGAUUGUUGAUAAAUUAUUUUAUUUGAGAUUUGCUAAGCCAAAUUUAGGUGAGCAUACCAUUCCAGCACAUCAAGACAAAUGUAUAUUGUAGUAUUUCCAAAUUAUCGAUAUGGGAGGUCACCAGAGUAGUGUUGUUAAGGGUGUUUUGUUCCCACUACGAUUUGUCUUUCUGUUCUUAGACUUUUCGCAUGUUUUGUACUGGUAUUACAAAGCUUUCAUCAAGGUCAAUGCACACAGAGGUGACGCUGGAGCUGUCUUGCUCGAGGUUAAUUUUAUCCUACUUCGGCUCCAUUGCGCAAAGAUGAACAACAACCCAAGCAAAUUCGGUGCAGAAGACAAUAAAAGUACCUUCAUGGCAUGAGAUGGACAAUUUCAAUCCACCCUUUAUUCCAAAUUGUCUUACUGAUUCAUGCUAAGCAACUAUGAAAACUUCUGGAUGACCCUUUUUUAUAUAUUGUGUUUGAUGUAUCUAUAUUUCAGAAACCUAGAUCAUGAAUGUGGAUGGAAGCAAAUGGCUUAAAUUGCAAAAUAAAGAAUGCACUAUACAAAGUA